rnacentral:rRNA from 1 species
UACGGAGGGGGCUAGCGUUGUUCGGUAUUACUGGGCGUAAAGCGCACGUAGGCGGCUUUGUAAGUUAGAGGUGAAAGCCUGGUGCUCAACACCAGAAUUGCCUUUAAGACUGCAUCGCUUGAACGUCGGAGAGGUGAGUGGAAUUCCGAGUGUAGAGGUGAAAUUCGUAGAUAUUCGGAAGAACACCAGUGGCGAAGGCGGCUCACUGGACGACUGUUGACGCUGAGGUGCGAAAGCGUGGGGAGCAAACAGG